AGAGUAAAAAUGUGUUCGUUAUACCAUUCGGUAUUCCAGUGUUGACUGAACGGGGAGUUGUCAGUCAAACGAAAAGCUAAGGCUUACGGUUCACAUUUUGCAUCCCGCU
rnacentral:ncRNA from 1 species